rnacentral:rRNA from 1 species
AACGAACGCUGGCGGCAUGCCUAACACAUGCAAGUCGAACGAGACCUUCGGGUCUAGUGGCGCACGGGUGCGUACCGCGUGGGAACCUGCCCUUAGGUUCGGAAUAACUCCCCGAAAGGGGUGCUAAUACCGGAUAAUGUCUUCGGACCAAAGAUUUAUCGCCUUUGGAUGGGCCCGCGUUGGAUUAGCUAGUUGGUAGGGUAAAAGCCUACCAAGGCGACGAUCCAUAGCUGGUCUGAGAGGAUGAUCAGCCACACUGGGACUGAGACACGGCCCAGACUCCUACGGGAGGCAGCAGUGGGGAAUAUUGGACAAGGGGCGAAAGCCUGAUCCAGCAAUGCCGCGUGAGUGAUGAAGGCCUUAGGGUUGUAAAGCUCUUUUACCCGGGAUGAUAAUGACAGUACCGGGAGAAUAAGCUCCGGCUAACUACGUG